ACGUAGGUGGCGAGCGUUGUCCGGAAUUAUUGGGCGUAAAGAGCAUGUAGGCGGCCUAUUAAGUCGAGCGUGAAAAUGCGGGGCUCAACCCCGUAUGGCGCUGGAAACUGGUAGGCUUGAGUGCAGGAGAGGAAAGGGGAAUUCCCAGUGUAGCGGUGAAAUGCGUAGAUAUUGGGAGGAACACCAGUGGCGAAGGCGCCUUUCUGGACUGUGUCUGACGCUGAGAUGCGAAAGCCAGGGUAGCGAACGG
rnacentral:rRNA from 1 species